GAUGAACGCUGGCGGCGUGCCUAAUACAUGCCAGUCGAGCGAACAGACGAGGAGCUUGCUCCUCUGACGUUAGCGGCGGACGGGUGAGUAACACGUGGAUAACCUACCUAUAAGACUGGGAUAACUUCGGGAAACCGGAGCUAAUACCGGAUAAUAUAUUGAACCGCAUGGUUCAAUAGUGAAAGACGGUUUUGCUGUCACUUAUAGAUGGAUCCGCGCCGCAUUAGCUAGUUGGUAAGGUAACGGCUUACCAAGGCAACGAUGCGUAGCCGACCUGAGAGGGUGAUCAGCCACACUGGAACUGAGACACGGUCCAGACUCCUACGGGAGGCAGCAGUAGGGAAUCUUGCGCAAUGGGCGAAAGCCUGACGGAGCAACGCCGCGUGAGUGAUGAAGGUCUUCGGAUCGUAAAACUCUGUUAUUAGGGAAGAACAAAUGUGUAAGUAACUAUGCACGUCUUGACGGUACCUAAUCAGAAAGCCACGGCUAACUACGUG
rnacentral:rRNA from 1 species